AUAAUACUCCCUCCAUCCGGAAUUACUUGUCAUCAAAAUGGAUGUGUCUAGAACUAAAAUACAUCUAGAUACAUCCAUUUCAAUGACAAGUAUUUUCGGACGGAGGGAUGAUGUC
rfam:Triticum aestivum genome assembly, contig: Triticum_aestivum_CS42_TGACv1_scaffold_136677_2BL